AUUGAACGCUGGCGGCAGGCCUAACACAUGCAAGUCGAGCGGAGCGGCGGACGGGUGCGUAAUGCCUAGGAAUCUGCCAGGUAGUGGGGGAUAACGUCCGGAAACGGGCGCUAAUACCGCAUACUAUCAGAUGAGCCUAGGUCUGAUUAGCUAGUGGGUGGGGUAAAGGCCUACCAGGGAGACGAUCGGUAACUGGUGUGAGAGGAUGAUCAGUCACACUGUAACUGAGACACGGUCCAGACUCCGACGGGAGGCAGCAGUGGGGAAUAUUGGACAAUGGGCGAAAGCCUGAUCCAGCCAUGCCGCGUGUGUGAAGAAGGUCUUCGGAUUGUAAAGCACUUUAAGUUGGGAGGCGUUACCAACAGAAUAAGCACCGGCUAACUUCGUGCCAGCAGCCGCGGUAAUAC
rnacentral:rRNA from 1 species